UACGUAGGUGACCAGCGUUGUCCGGAUUUACUGGGCGUAAAGAGCGCGCAGGCGGUCGUUCAAAGUCCGGAGUGUGAAAGCCCCCGGCUCAACUGGGGAGGGUCACUCGAUACUGAUCGACUUGAAAGGCAGGAGAGGGAAGCGGAAAUUCCCUGUGUAGCGGUGAAAUGCGUAGAGAUGGGGGAGAACACUCGUGGCGAAGGCGGCCAGCUAGACAGUUCUGACACUGAGGCGCGAUAGCGUGGGGAGCAAACAGG
rnacentral:rRNA from 1 species